rnacentral:rRNA from 1 species
UGGGAACCUUCCCUAUGGUUCGGAAUAGCCCAGGGAAACUUGGGGUAAUACCGAAUAAGCCCUUCGGGGGAAAGAUUUAUCGCCAUUGGAUGGGCCCGCGUCGGAUUAGCUAGUUGGUGGGGUAACGGCCCACCAAGGCGACGAUCCGUAGCUGGUCUGAGAGGAUGAUUAGCCACACUGGGACUGAGACACGGCCCAGACUCCUACGGGAGGCAG